rnacentral:rRNA from 1 species
GUGCCAGCCGCCGCGGUAAUACCGGCAGCCCGAGUGAUGGCCGAUAUUAUUGGGCCUAAAGCGUCCGUAGCUGGCCGAACAAGUCCGUCGGGAAAUCCACGUGCUUAACGCGUGGGCGUCCGGUGGAAACUACACGGCUUGGGGCCGAGAGACUCGACGGGUACGUCCGGGGUAGGAGUGAAAUCCUGUAAUCCUGGACGGACCACCAAUGGGGAAACCACGUCGAGAGACCGGACCCGACAGUGAGGGACGAAAGCCAGGGUCUCGAACCGGAUUAGAAACCCCGGUAGUCC